UGAGGUAUAGCAUAAUUAAAAUGCAUUUCGUUUACAUUGAAAAUAUAUUUACUUAAAAUUGCCUUAU
rnacentral:tRNA from 1 species